rnacentral:rRNA from 1 species
GAUGAACGCUGGCGGCGUGCCUAAUACAUGCAAGUCGAGCGAACAGACGAGGAGCUUGCUCCUCUGACGUUAGCGGCGGACGGGUGAGUAACACGUGGAUAACCUACCUAUAAGACUGGGAUAACUUCGGGAAACCGGAGCUAAUACCGGAUAAUAUAUUGAACCGCAUGGUUCAAUAGUGAAAGACGGUUUUGCUGUCACUUAUAGAUGGAUCCGCGCCGCAUUAGCUAGUUGGUAAGGUAACGGCUUACCAAGGCGACGAUGCGUAGCCGACCUGAGAGGGUGGUCGGCCACCCUUGAACGGAGACAGAGGCCAGACUCCUACGGGAGGCAGCAGUAGGGAAUCUUCCGCGAUUGGCGAAAGCCUGACGGAGCAACGCCGCGUGAGUGAUGAAGGUCUUCGGAUCGUAAAACUCUGUUAUUAGGGAAGAACAAAUGUGUAAGUAACUAUGCACGUCUUGACGGUACCUAAUCAGAAAGCCACGGCUAACUACGUG